UAUCUCUCCAGACGGGGCAGCAAUUGCAACGGGGUCAAGUGACAAGACGGUUAGGCUAUGGGAUCUUAAGAUGAGAGCGGCUACGCAAACUUUAACCAACCAUACAGAUCAGGUUUGGGCUGUGGCUUUUGGACCAACAUCAAGGACUGAUGUUAGGUCCUGUAUGCUUGCAAGUGUGUCUGAUGACAAGAGUUUAUCAUUCUAUCAGUACUCUUAACAGUUGCAGCCAUUGCAUGCUUUGUAUGUUGGUAUGAUGUCUCAAGAAAAUAUUUGACUUAUUUUCGAAUUUGAUUUAAUAUAAAUAUUUUCAUGAUAGAAUUUG
rnacentral:misc_RNA from 1 species